UUUCCUCCCCCCCUUUUCCCUCCCCUCGAUUUAUUUAUUAUUAUUAUUUAUUUAUUUUUUGGGGGGUGCACGAAGCGCACCUCCAAAGAGGGCUCCGCUCCUCUCCCCUCUCUCCCUUAUAUAAUCCCUUGAGUCCCUUAUAACACCCCUUGAGUCCCUUAUAACACCCCUUGAGUCCCUUAUAACACCCCUUGCUGAUAGGGCACGACAACCCGUGCAACCCCACUGCAGGAACGCUGGCAUUUUCUGCUGCUGUUCCACUUGAUCUGGAAUUCUGGUCAAUGGAAAGAAGAACAAGAAGAAGAGAAUGCAUAGGGCCCUGAAAGUACUUCUUUACCAGCUGGGUUCAGUUCCCAUCUCCAUAACCCCUUCUUUUUUUGGUGGGGUUUAAAGUUCAGUAAAACAGUUACAAGCCGGAGUUGUACCUAAUUAACAGAUGAGAAGCUCCUUGGAAGAGGACAGAUAUCUCCUAGAGGGUUUGGACAGUGCUUCGCUCAGGGUCUCAGAUCUCCCCCCCACCAUGAUGUAAUUAACUCAGUUUGGCCGCAUUGAGGUGCAUGUGAGCAGCACUAAGCUGGCAGUGCCAUGUUAUUCUUUUUGCCCUACCUAGGCUGAAAGAAAGCAAUAGCUUCACGUGUUCUCAUUAUUGCAACUAAGACCAGACAGUUCUUUGCUGUACCUAUCGGCAUUCUUAUGGUUUUGUAGAUUCAGAUCCCCUGGUUAAUACAGAAUAGGCUAAAAUAAAAAUGAAUGACAGUGGGAGGGGGGUGGGUUGAAAUGUAUUAGUGAAUGAAAGUUUCAUCCUAGAGGAUUCCCAUCAGCACUGACUGUAGAGUUUCACACCUCCUAUAUAUGAUUUGAGCAUCACUGAUAUCCCAGCUGCACGUCCCUAAAGCAUAUUGUGAGACACAUUGAACAUGCCUGCAUUCUCCAAGAGAAAUGAGGACAAUCCAUGUGUUCUGUUGUCCUUCAUUCCACCGGAGUCUGUCUCGUACCCAACCAGAUUUCAGUGGAGUGAAGCACAAGAGACAUGGAGAUGAAUCAGCAACGAGAGGAGCUGCUUCCCAAUGGCAGAGAAAGGAAACAGCACGGACCCUGAUGCACCAGGCAACCAAACAGAGGCCAAGGAUGCUGGCAAACAGGAGCAGCACACCAAGCACUUUAAUAAGUUGAAUAUUUCUUCUAAAUCUCCACUAAGAGCCCAUUUUGAAAACGUACGUACUUUCUGCAUUGUAUGUAGAGAUAAAAAGAAGUCUACAAAGACCACAAGCUGGUUUCCUGGAGGCUUAAAUACCUUUUUAAGUGGGAUAUUAAACACAAAUGUGGAUAAAUAAGAUGUGUAACCUUUAAUUUCAGUCAUCUUCCCUCUAGGAUUGUAGAGCCAAGUGCAGGAACCAGAAUGGAACUGUCUCAGGGCACAAACAGUGCAUUUCCUUAGGGAUCCUCCUCUAAGCAUCCACCUUCACCUCCCUCCAGCAUCCCUGCUGCUGUAUCUUCAUAGCAUGGCAGAACACCAUUAUAACUGUAGGCUUAUUUAUUUUGGAAUAAAACACAUGUAAAUAAGAUCCAAGCCAAGGGAGAACUGAGAUUCUUCAGGUUAAACACAAGGCGUUUCUUUUAA